CAAUAACCGAGCUAAUCUCAACCCAUGAUGUGCUUUUGAAAGCGAUGCCAGGAUUGCGAUGCGAAUAACGUUCAGGCAAAUGAACUGCUGAAAGUUCCUGAACAAACAAACGACUUUUGAAAGUUUACUUACGGAAUAAUUUACAACACCAUAUAUUUUAUACCGUCAUGCAAUAAGCGGCCACAGUUUUAUCGUUGAGCGUUACAUUCAACCCACAGAUUAACCAGAAUGAGGGUGCGAAAUAAAUUUGCUUCUU
rnacentral:lncRNA from 1 species